UGCGUGUCGUGCUUAAAGUAAAAUUAAAUCUAUUGAAAAUUAGGAUAGUUUAAAGUCACUGUAGUGCUUCCAAACAAGAUUGUAUAGACAACGCCUACAAACGAAAACGUACCUACCUACCCUUAAAAGAAAGUGUAUAACGACGAACAAAGCAUAAGAUAAGGUCCGUGCCGGCCUUUUCUUUUACGAUCCCGGAGCGGAAGCCAGCCGGGGGCCAACAACACGUGCCAUCUACGCACACAAAGCUCACCGACGCCAUUUUGUGUACCCGCUGGUGCAAAGCGACUCAACUGUCGAAUCUCAGAGUCAUGGUUAAACGCCUCGCCGUGAAUACUUCCGACGACGAAUACAGCGAACCGAGCAGCGAUUCGG